rnacentral:rRNA from 1 species
GAGUUUGAUCCUGGCUCAGGACGAACGCUGGCGGCGCGCCUAACACAUGCAAGUCGAACGAGCGAGAGAGAGCUUGCUUUCUCGAGCGAGUGGCGAACGGGUGAGUAACGCGUGAGGAACCUGCCUCAAAGAGGGGGACAGCAGUUGGAAACGACUGCUAAUACCGCAUAAGCCCACAGCUCGGCAUCGAGCAGAGGGAAAAGGAGCAAUCCGCUUUGAGAUGGCCUCGCGUCCGAUUAGCUAGUUGGUGAGGUAAUGGCCCACCAAGGCGACGAUCGGUAGCCGGACUGAGAGGUUGAACGGCCACAUUGGGACUGAGACACGGCCCAGACUCCUACGGGAGGCAGCAGUGGGGAAUAUUGCACAAUGGGGGAAACCCUGAUGCAGCGACGCCGCGUGGAGGAAGAAGGUCUUCGGAUUGUAAACUCCUGUUGUUGAGGAAGAUAAUGACGGUACUCAACAAGGAAGUGACGGCUAACUACGUGCCAGCAGCCGCGGUAAAACGUAGGUCACAAGCGUUGUCCGGAAUUACUGGGUGUAAAGGGAGCGCAGGCGGGAAGACAAGUUGGAAGUGAAAUCUAUGGGCUCAACCCAUAAACUGCUUUCAAAACUGUUUUUCUUGAGUAGUGCAGAGGUAGGCGGAAUUCCCGGUGUAGCGGUGGAAUGCGUAGAUAUCGGGAGGAACACCAGUGGCGAAGGCGGCCUACUGGGCACCAACUGACGCUGAGGCUCGAAAGUGUGGGUAGCAAACAGGAUUAGAUACCCUGGUAGUCCACACCGUAAACGAUGAUUACUAGGUGUUGGAGGAUUGACCCCUUCAGUGCCGCAGUUAACACAAUAAGUAAUCCACCUGGGGAGUACGACCGCAAGGUUGAAACUCAAAGGAAUUGACGGGGGCCCGCACAAGCAGUGGAGUAUGUGGUUUAAUUCGACGCAACGCGAAGAACCUUACCAAGUCUUGACAUCCCUUGACGAACAUAGAAAUAUGUUUUCUCUUCGGAGCAAGGAGACAGGUGGUGCAUGGUUGUCGUCAGCUCGUGUCGUGAGAUGUUGGGUUAAGUCCCGCAACGAGCGCAACCCUUACUGUCAGUUACUACGCAAGAGGACUCUGGCAGGACUGCCGUUGACAAAACGGAGGAAGGUGGGGAUGACGUCAAAUCAUCAUGCCCUUUAUGACUUGGGCUACACACGUACUACAAUGGCGUUAAACAAAGAGAAGCAAGACCGCGAGGUGGAGCAAAACUCAGAAACAACGUCCCAGUUCGGACUGCAGGCUGCAACUCGCCUGCACGAAGUCGGAAUUGCUAGUAAUCGUGGAUCAGCAUGCCACGGUGAAUACGUUCCCGGGCCUUGACACACCGCCCGUC